rnacentral:lncRNA from 1 species
GCUGUGUGUGCGACUCUCAACCCCGCACCCAGCAAGCCCAGGGCUCCCUCCAACCUGGAAAUAGGGACCUUGACAGCUUAGCCAACUCUCGGAAUCUAUGGUCCCUGAGACGUGGACGCUGACAGCUCAGUGACCACAGUAUUUGUAGCCUCCCCUCCCCAGGACACCUUCAGCCCCGCUUGCUGAGCGUCUUCGUAUCAACAGCUCCGCUCCCACUAGCUGAAUCUCUUGCAGCCAGAGCCCCUCUCCCACUGACCGUCCCCGUGGGCGGCGGUGCUACCUGCUAGUCGCCAGCUAUCCCAGAGAGCUCCGCUUGGGCCUGGGUCUCUCUUCGCUCUUCCGCAGAAAGUCAAGCCCGCCCCUUGGCCUUGGUCGUGACGUUGGUGGGCGAGGCUGGAGACGGGUGCCGCCCUUUCGACUAAGUAGGAGGGUGGAGGUGUAGGCGUGGCCUGGGCGUGGCCCUCCCCUGCAGCUCACCUUUUGAAGUUCUCUCAGAUUCACUCGUCUUUCAGCUAGUCUGCGUGGGAGUACCCAGUGGGUGUAUGAUUACUGGUCGCCAAGAUGUUCCUAGCGGAACCGGUCUGAACCAGGCUGGACUUUGGCUCCUCAAGCCAACCCACAGAAUAACCAAAUACUGGCUAGGCGGGGCCUGUCUUGGCAGAUCACGGACCAAAGGAGCCAGCCACAAAAUGACAAGCUGGUACUCGACAAGGACAAGGCCACGUUUAGUGAACUCUUGCAGCCCCAUGGUAACAAGCACUGGGAUAAAGGAAUUCAAGUCAGGCGUCUCCUGGGUGCUGCCGGAACCAAAAGAAGUUGGACUUCAAGGUGGAGGCAUAGGCUCAACAUCAUGCCAAGGAAAUCCAAAGCGAUGCCGGGAGAGGUAUAGCAGUUUCUGUUGCAGUUCAGCUGCAAUCUUCAGAAAGCCGGGGCCAGCUGGGUACGAGAGCUAAGGGAAACUCAGUAGGAAACAUCAGUGCUGAGGACUCAGCUCCAAAGCAACCCAAGAAAGCUGCGCAUAGAAUAAGCAAAAGCUUAGAAGGCACAAGGCGAUCCUGCAGACAGUGUCUUCACAGGCAACUCUGUGGGCAGCAGAAAUGGGAGGACAACGGGCUCGUUAAGGGUCCUGUGGGAGGUUGGGGCUGUGGGUUAGAUGUGCGAGUGCUUGCCUGGCAUGUAGAAAGCCUGGUUCCUACAUAUGAUGUACGAGUGCUUGCCUGGCAUGUAGAAAGCCUGGUUCCUACAUACGAGUACAUUACCUAACUCAACGAGAGCACAGGCUGUAAAUCUAUGGGUUGGGAGGUAGCUGGUGAUCAGGCAGGAGAAUUAGAAAGUCAAGGUUAUCCUUGUCGUAAAGCAAGCUAGGGGCUAUCCUUGAAUAUAUGAGGCUCUGUCUUUAAAAGGGGGCGGUCAGUCAGCUGGGAGGACAAAGCACAACUUUGAUCCCAGCAUUUAGGAGGCAGAGGCAGGUGGAUCUCCAUGAGUUCAAGGCCAGCUUGGUCUAUAGAGCAAGUUCCAGCUAGGACAGUCAGGGCUACACACACACACACACACAAAUCCUGUGUCAAAAAAAACAGAACAAACAACAAACAAAAUUUGUAUAAAGAUUAGUAAAACAAUAGAGUAUUAGCUGAAAUGUUUUCUGAUUGUCUAUAAGAAAUUCACAGCCAGACAUGGUGAGCACACCUUUAAUCCCAGCACUUGAAAGGCAGAGGCAGCAGCAGGUGG